rnacentral:rRNA from 1 species
GGGUGAUCUGCCCUGCACUCUGGGAUAAGCCUGGGAAACUGGGUCUAAUACCGGAUAGGAGCCAUCUUUAGUGUGGUGGUUGGAAAGUUUUUCGGUGUAGGAUGAGCUCGCGGCCUAUCAGCUUGUUGGUGGGGUAAUGGCCUACCAAGGCGGCGACGGGUAGCCGGCCUGAGAGGGUGUACGGCCACAUUGGAACUGAGAAACGGUCCAA